rnacentral:tRNA from 1 species
GCCGACAGAGAGCCCGCAACUGACUUGUAAUCAGUAGGUCCCGGGUUCGACUCCUGGUGUCGGCACCA